rnacentral:ncRNA from 2 species
ACACGUUCUCGGGGCGGGGUGAAAUUCCCCACCGGCGGUAAUCGUCUUUGCACAAGACGUAGCCCGCGAGCGCUCUGUUUGGGCAGCCACAACGGCAGUUAAACAGAGGUCAGCAGACCCGGUUGGAUUCCGGGGCCGACGGUCAUAGUCCGGAUGAAAGAGAACAGGA